rnacentral:rRNA from 1 species
AUUGAACGCUGGCGGCAGGCCUAACACAUGCAAGUCGAGCGGAUGAAGGGAGCUUGCUCCUGGAUUCAGCGGCGGACGGGUGAGUAAUGCCUAGGAAUCUACCUGGUAGUGGGGGAUAACGUCCGGAAACGGGCGCUAAUACCGCAUACGUCCUGAGGGAGAAAGAGGGGGAUCUUCGGACCUCACGCUAUCAGAUGAGCCUAGGUCGGAUUAGCUAGUUGGUGGGGUAAAGGCCUACCAAGGCGACGAUCCGUAACUGGUCUGAGAGGAUGAUCAGUCACCCUGGAACUGAGACACGGUCCACACUCCUACGGGAGGCAGCAGUGGGGAAUAUUGGACAAUGGGCGAAAGCCUGAUCCAGCCAUGCCGCGUGUGUGAAGAAGGUCUUCGGAUUGGAAAGCAAUUUAAGUUGGGAGGAAGGGCAGUAAGUUAAUACCUUGCUGUUUUGACGUUACCAACAGAAGAAGCACCGGCUAACUUCGUG